rnacentral:lncRNA from 1 species
CUGCACUGGGGAGAGCGAGCCCUCAUGUCCUCAUCUCUCGCGUCAGGGAUAACACAGGAGGAGCACCAGGCCAAGGCCUUUUCAGAGAACAGGGAAUUCAGAGGACAUUGUCCAGACAAGGUCAGAAUUCAAGGCAACUCAUUUGUCUCAGGAUUUUCCCCAGAGACCCGGGGACAGAUAUUCCUCAUGUUGAAAUCACUACAGCAGUCUUCUCCAUGGGCAGAGGCUGGACCGAGGCCUUUUGUACGUUAUCUCGAUUGUUGGAACAUCCCUAAUAUGUUCCAUUUUACAGACUCAAAAGCAUUUUUAAUGAGUGGAGUAUGGCGAUGCCUUGCCAGUGUGUCUGCAGAUGACUCAAUCUGUGUGCACACAUCCAAAUGCACACGCGGUUUGCAAAGGGAAACCAUGGAGUUCCACAAACUGGAGGUAGGUUAAACAAGAAUAUUUGAAGGUGGAGGUGAAGAGGCAUCCGUUUGCCUCCUUCCAACUGUCUGCUCCUCUCCCAGCCAAAUUAACCAGCACCCGUGGUGGAACUGGUUCUUAAAACUGAGCCCGACUUUCCAGAGCAGAACCUGACUGAAGGUUCUCAGUGGAUUUCACAGUUGGUUUCCCUUGACAUUUUCCCCUGGAAAGAGUCCCUUCAUCCAUUCAUGCAUUCAUUUGGUCACUCAACAAAUACUGUUGAGCACUUACCAAGUGCCGGGUGCUGCUCUGAGCACUGGAGUUACAGCCGUGAAAAACACCGUCACAGAGGCUAGUGCAUCCUUGUGGGGUAUAAUCUCAGCACACCCAAUAUUAAUUUCAUCAGAUAAAAUUCACAAUCCUUUAUCUGAACUCCUUGGGGAUAGAUUGGUUUUUUGGAAAUUUUGGAAUUUUUUUUGAAAGAUAAAAUGGGGCAUAUGAUUAUUUAGUUUGCACAUAGCCCCAGUUAGGUCUGGGGAAGUACCCGGUAACCCAACACCGUUCCUAUUUCAUCUGUGAAGAGUAUGAACAUUCACUCCAACUGGGAUAAAUUAAGACUAUAAAUGAUCUUGUCAUGGGAGGUACAGCUUUGCCACCAAAGGAGCUUAAAAACCUGUUUUCAGAGCUGCUUUUUGUAGCGUAGCAGGUAUUGAGUGCCCAGUGCGUGCCUGACCCCUGCUAAGUUCUCCAGAAGCAUCACUGUUCAUUCUCACUGCACCCCUGAUUUUCAAGGUCAUCUGUUUCAUUUUCACUGCUCUCCUACCAGGUAGGUCAUCAUAUUUCUGUUUUUCUUUGUUGUGUGGUGAGGUCAUUAUAUUUCUCUGGUUUUUGUUUGUUUGUAUUGUAACAAAAAUCAAUAUUUUUGUUGUCAUGUGUGUGUGUUUAAGAGGAUUCUGAGAGG